UGGCGGACGGUGAGUAACGCGUGGGUAACCUGCCUCAUACAGGGGGAUAACAGUUAGAAAUGACUGCUAAUACCGCAUAAGCGCACGGUUUCGCAUGGAACAGUGUGAAAAACUCCGGUGGUAUGGGAUGGACCCGCGUCUGAUUAGCUGGUUGGCGGGGUAACGGCCCACCAAGGCGACGAUCAGUAGCCGGCCUGAGAGGGUGAACGGCCACAUUGGGACUGAGACACGGCCCAAACUCCUACGGGAGGCAGCAG
rnacentral:rRNA from 1 species